rnacentral:rRNA from 1 species
AUUGAACGCUGGCGGCGGGCUUAACACAUGCAAGUCGAGCGGGGUGAUGGUGCUUGCACUAUCACUUAGCGGCGGACGGGUGAGUAAUGCUUAGGAAUCUGCCUAUUAGUGGGGGACAACAUCGCGAAAGGGAUGCUAAUACCGCAUACGUCCUACGGGAGAAAGCAGGGGAUCACUUGUGACCUUGCGCUAAUAGAUGAGCCUAAGUCGGAUUAGCUAGUUGGUGGGGUAAAGGCCUACCAAGGCGACGAUCUGUAGCGGGUCUGAGAGGAUGAUCCGCCACACUGGGACUGAGACACGGCCCAGACUCCUACGGGAGGCAGCAGUGGGGAAUAUUGGACAAUGGGGGGAACCCUGAUCCAGCCAUGCCGCGUGUGUGAAGAAGGCCUUAUGGUUGUAAAGCACUUUAAGCGAGGAGGAGGCUCUUUUGGUUAAUACCCAAGAUGAGUGGACGUUACUCGCAGAAUAAGCACCGGCUAACUCUGUGCCAGCAGCCGCCGUAA